rnacentral:rRNA from 1 species
CUCUUGUGAUAAUCUCAAGUAAUCCCUGCCCUAUGAGUAGUUUAAAUGGCCGCAGUAUUCUGACUGUGCAAAGGUAGCAUAAUCACUUGCUUCUUAAUUAGACGCUAGAAUGAAAGGGGCGACGAAAUCUAGGCUAUCAAAAUUUUAAAAUAAAUUGACAACCAGGUCAAAAGGCCUGAAUGCAGCAGGGGGACGACAAGACCCUAUAAAACUUUACCUUUUGCCCAGUAGCGGGCAGGGCGCUGUCUGGCGUAAUGGUUUUACUGGGGCGGUAUGCGUAAAAACAACUUUAAGUUUAAUAUACUAAAUAAAGCAUAAUAACUCUUAUAGAAAUAGAAUAAGUUACUUUAGGGAUAACAGCGUAAUUGCCCCCGAGAGUUCUUAUUGGCGGGGUAGUUUACGACCUCGAUGUUGAAUUGGGACACCUU